rnacentral:rRNA from 1 species
GAUGAACGCUGGCGGCGUGCCUAAUACAUGCAAGUCGAGCGAACAGACGAGGAGCUUGCUCCUCUGACGUUAGCGGCGGACGGGUGAGUAACACGUGGAUAACCUACCUAUAAGACUGGGAUAACUUCGGGAAACCGGAGCUAAUACCGGAUAAUAUAUUGAACCGCAUGGUUCAAUAGUGAAAGACGGUUUUGCUGUCACUUAUAGAUGGAUCCGCGCCGCAUUAGAUAGUUGGUAAGGUAACGGCUUACCAAGGCAACGAUGCGUAGCCGACCUGAGAGGGUGAUAGGCCACACUGGAACUGAGACACGGUCCAGACUCCUACGGGAGGCAGCAGUAGGGAAUCUUCCGCAAUGGGCGAAAGCCUGACGGAGCAACGCCGCGUGAGUGAUGAAGGUCUUCGGAUCGUAAAACUCUGUUAUUAGGGAAGAACAAAUGUGUAAGUAACUAUGCACGUCUUGACGGUACCUAAUCAGAAAGCCACGGCUAACUACGUG